rnacentral:lncRNA from 1 species
AUGCAGUGGAUGAACUUGCCAUCUCCGACGUCUGACCGAGCUCUAACCACUCUAAUUACCACACUUUGGCCCCCUUCAAUGGCUGUUGGAACAAAUUGUUCUCAUCUACCCAUUCUGUCCAGGGAAGUCAUCACAUUCUUGGGGGCCAAAAUGGCAGAGCAGUUGAAUGAGAAGGGGAAAUACAACACCCUGGAGAAGAUCUGGGAGCAUCAUCACAGCUGCUACACCUGGAUCAUACUGUGCAACAAAACCUACAGUUGGACGAAAUUUCUGAAAGGCCAUUCUGGAAAAGUGAUGAGGGUACAAGAUGGAGAGAUGAUACCCCCAGAAAUGGGGAGAAUACUAGGCUUUCUACAGAUGCCUGAGAACUACCCAAGAUAUAUAUUUUCUAGACAAAGCACUCUGAUGGAGACUCUACUCUCUACUCUCUGUGAUCUGGUCUAUUUGGACAUGAACUGGUAGAAAGAAUCCUGGAAUUAAAGGAAAGGAAAAAAUGGCAGAAACCCUAAGGUGCUUCUCUCCUGAUUACUGACGUCAUCAGCAUCAUUAAGCCCCUCACAAAGUCCUGCUCCUACCCAGUGCAAGCUCCGGCAGGUUCUGCCAUGUAUGAGUAUGGUCCUGACAACAGAUUGUGUCAAGCCUAACUGAGCAUGGGAAGACUCAUCGCCAUUGGCUGGCCACAUGGUGAUGAAUUCUUUGGCCAUGGCAACCUGUGAAACAAAGGCAAAUACAAAAGGUACAGCAGAGCUUUGCAAUUCCUGGCUGCUCGUGCAGUCAUGGCAGCAACAUGACUGGAAAGGGACAGAGCACUCCAAGACCCAAGAUUUUAGACAGUUUACAGACACUGGCGUAGCUAUUAGAACUGUAAAUGUGAGAUUCUUCUCCAAGGACCAAUGAACAAAAUAACUCCUGGAGAAAGUGAAUUGUAUUCAUUCGGACAUUUUUGCUAUAAACAAAGCCAAAAUCUAGAUGGAAAUAUGAAUAAAUAAAAAAACAUUUUAAGCA